CUGGGGUUGGUAUGCCAAAUGGAAACCCACCUACUAGUAGUAAGCUACUUCGUCCACGAAGCCCGCUCAUUGAUGCUGUUGCUGCCCACGAUAAAAGCAAGUUGAGAAAAGUUUCUGAUCGGAUACUACCUGAAAUUGGACCCAAGGUAGAUGAAAGAGAUUCACUGCUAGCACAGAUUCGAACCAAGUCCUUUAGCUUGAAGCCUGCAGUCGCAACAAGACCCAGCGUGCAGG
rnacentral:misc_RNA from 1 species